AGAAUUGUGAGCCGUUGAUCGUGUUGAAAAAGUUAAAUAUGAGAAGAAGAGAGAACGAUGAAGACAAGAAUACACUGAUCGUCUCCAUUCUUGCUUUUCAAAUUUCGAUGGCCUUCUCUAAUUAAGGUCAACGUGAAGUUAUCGCUUUUUAUCGUCGGUACCAGCUUUCUCAGCCCCUGGGAGCUUUCAAGGAGCAGGGUUUGAUAUUGGCUGCUCUUCUGGGUUUGUUUGCUAUGGCUGAGACUUCCAUAACUACGUUGUGGCCGUGGAAGUAACAUGGAUCAUACUUUUGCGGGUUUUAGAUUGUUCUAUUAUUUUGACAAAGGAGAAAAAAGAGAAUGAAAUCAGUGUAAUAUAGGUGGUAAACAAAAAGAGGUUACUUUAACCUGCAACAUGCCAUUUUUGAUAGAUGUACACUGAAGGAAGGAUGAAGUGUAUAACUAUUGUGUUGGAGGCUUCGAGCAUGUAAUUUUUAUUUUUAUUUUUUUUUUGUAAUAUAUAAUUUUUAUUAUUUCAUAUA